rnacentral:rRNA from 1 species
AGCCGGUCGUAGUCCGGAUCNCAGUCUNCAACUCGNCUGCGUGAAGUCGGAAUCGCUAGUAAUCGUGAAUCAGCGAUGUCNCGGUGAAAACGUUCCCGGGUCUUGUACACACCGCCCGUCACACCAUGGGAGUUGAUUGCACCAGAAGUAGGUAGCCUAACCGCAAGGGGGGCGCUUACCACGGUGUGGUCAAUGACUGGGGUGAAGUCGUAACAAGUUAACC